rnacentral:rRNA from 1 species
UACGUAGGGGGCAAGCGUUGUCCGGAUUUAUUGGGCGUAAAGAGCGUGUAGGCGGCCAGACAAGUCUGUUGUGAAAACUCGAGGCUCAACCUCGAGCUGUCGGUGGAAACUGUCUGGCUAGAGUCCGGAAGAGGAGAGUGGAAUUCCUGGUGUAGCGGUGAAAUGCGCAGAUAUCAGGAAGAACACCUAUGGCGAAGGCAGCUCUCUGGGACGGUACUGACGCUGAGACGCGAAAGCGUGGGGAGCGAACAGG